AAGGCAGAGAAGAGCCCUAAUUUCACACUCCAUGAAGCUCAAUGGAGAAAAUUAUUAUUUUAAGUGCUCCCAGAUUCUCUUCCUGAGGUCUGUGACAGAAGAAGGAAGAUGAACCGUUUGGCCACCCUGAAUUAGGUGGACAAUGAGGAGAUAUACUCCAUUCCUUAUAGGAGUUUGACAUCAAUCUCAAACAAAGAGCAACUUAACUGUUGCUAGUUUUGGUACCGAACACAUCUUGCCAUUUUUCAACUGGAAUUAUGUCCUACCAGUGUGAGAGCUCCUUCAUUUCAGCCUCCUGACUCCAUUUUUAAAGAGAUUUCCUUUAUUAAUUUUUACACUACUUUGGAGAGAGACUUAACGAGGACAUUUCGGGUACUCGGAAUCGUUAAAAUGGGAAAGAACUUGAAAUGUUAUGUUUAGGGUCACCUGGGUGUAUCAGUGG